CAUACGUACCUAUAUACCAGUUAAUACAGGUGUGUGUCCAGGUGAAGCAACAUACGUACCUAUAUACCAGUUAAUACAGGUGUGUGUGUGUCCAGGUGAAACAGCAUACGUACCUAUAUACCAGUUAAUACAGGUGUGUGUCCAGGUGAAGCAGCAUACGUACCUAUAUACCAGUUAAUACAGGUGUGUGUCCAGGUGAAGCAGCAUACGUACCUAUAUACCAGUUAAUACAGGUGUGUGUCCAGGUGAAGCAGCAUACGUACCUAUAUACCAGUUAAUACAGGUGUGUGUCCAGGUGAAGCAGCAUACGUACCUAUAUACCAGUUAAUACAGGUGUGUGUCCAGGUGAAGCAGCAUACGUACCUAUAUACCAGUUAAUACAGGUGUGUGUCCAGGUGAAGCAGCAUACGUACCUAUAUACCAGUUAAUACAGGUGUGUGUCCAGGUGAAGCAGCAUACGUACCUAUAUACCAGUUAAUACAGGUGUGUGUCCAGGUGAAGCAACAUACGUACCUAUAUACCAGUUAAUACAGGUGUGUGUCCAGGUGAAGCAGCAUACGUACCUAUAUACCAGUUAAUACAGGUGUGUGUCCAGGUGAAGCAGCAUACGUACCUAUAUACCAGUUAAUACAGGUGUGUGUCCAGGUGAAGCAACAUACGUACCUAUAUACCAGUUAAUACAGGUGUGUGUCCAGGUGAAGCAGCAUACGUACCUAUAUACCAGUUAAUACAGGUGUGUGUCCAGGUGAAGCAGCAUACGUACCUAUAUACCAGUUAAUACAGGUGUGUGUCCAGGUGAAGCAGCAUACGUACCUAUAUACCAGUUAAUACAGGUGUGUGUCCAGGUGAAGCAGCAUACGUACCUAUAUACCAGUUAAUACAGGUGUGUGU